rnacentral:rRNA from 1 species
AAAUCUGUGCUAUACAGGCAUAGAAUUGUAAUCUAAAGGCCUUUUAGGGAAGUCAUGGUUCUAGCAUAAGUUCCUUGAAAAGGGAGGUCAUAGAGGGUAAAAACCCCGUGUUAGGCUAGGACUGGACGUACCGAAGGGUUCAAAGAGUCGGGUUGUUUGGGAUUGCAGCCCUAAUUUGGAGAUAAACUUCUUCUAAAGCUAAAUAUUUAUGGGAAACCGAUAGCAAACAAGUACUACGAAGGAAAGAUGAAAAGAACUUUGAAAAGAGGGUUAAAAGACUUGAAAUCGUUGAGAAGAAAAGCGGUAGAAGAGAAAUGAUUUCACGAAGCAGUACGGGCUGAUGCGGAGCAAUCCGGGGGUAAGGUACUUAAUAGGGCCUGCCUUUGGAUAAGUAGACGCAUAAGUUCCUUUGCCCAGUGAAGUGCAAGAUGAGAGUCUGUUCGGGGAAAAGUGGUUGGGAAGACUCAGGCCUUGAUGCUUGAAGCCCAGCUAACAUGUCCGAAUAGGCUCUGAGGGAUCCAACUGGAGAUCUUGCAAAAAAGGCUUCUACUGACCCGUCUUGAAACACGGACCAAGGAGUCUACCCCAUAUGCGAGUUUUAGGGUGGAAAAACCCGAAAGCGUAACGAAAGUGAGUAUAAGAUGUGAGUCCGCAAGGAUGCAGCAUCGGCCAACCUCGAUUUUCGAAUGAAGGGAUUGAGCAAGAGCAUAUUUGGUAGGACCCGAAAGAUGGUGAACUACGCUUGAGUAGGGCGAAGCCAGGGGAAACUCUGGUGGAGGCUCGAAGCGUUACUGACGUGC